UACGUAGGGGGCAAGCGUUGUUCGGAUUCAUUGGGCGUAAAGGGUGCGUAGGCGGCGCGGUAAGUCGGGUGUGAAAUCUUGGAGCUUAACUCCGAAACUGCAUUCGAUACUGCCGUGCUUGAGGACUGGAGAGGAGACUGGAAUUUACGGUGUAGCGGUGAAAUGCGUAGAUAUCGUAAGGAAGACCAGUGGCGAAGGCGGGUCUCUGGACAGUUCCUGACGCUGAGGCACGAAGGCUAGGGGAGCAAACGGG
rnacentral:rRNA from 1 species